rnacentral:rRNA from 1 species
AACGAACGCUGGCGGCAGGCUUAACACAUGCAAGUCGAGCGCCCCGCAAGGGGAGCGGCAGACGGGUGAGUAACGCGUGGGAAUCUACCCAUCUCUACGGAAUAACGCAUGGAAACGUGUGCUAAUACCGGAUAUGUCCUUCGGGAGAAAGAUUUAUCGGAGAUGGAUGAGCCCGCGUUGGAUUAGCUAGUUGGUGGGGUAAAGGCCUACCAAGGCGACGAUCCAUAGCUGGUCUGAGAGGAUGAUCAGCCACACUGGGACUGAGACACGGCCCAGACUCCUACGGGAGGCAGCAGUGGGGAAUAUUGGACAAUGGGCGCAAGCCUGAUCCAGCCAUGCCACGUGAGUGAUGAAGGCCCUAGGGUUGUGAAGCUCUUUCACCGGUGAGGAUAAUGACGGUACCCGGAGAAGAAGCCCCGGCUAACUUCGUGCCAGCCGCCGCAGUAACAC